GUGUCGAGGCAAAUAUAUACCCUCAAUUACAACAAUUCGGAUAAAACCACGGCAAGGGGACGAUUCGGAGAAAGCGUGUGUACCGUUGAUCUGUGCUGGUGUUGUUAUCGUGUCAAUAUUUACAGAAUUACUAAAAUGAAAGUUGAAGUAGUAUUUGUACUAUCAGUGCUAAUCCUGGCUUCGUUGCCGGAUAUGGUCACCUCCUGCGGUGGUCAGAUCUGUAAGAUAUGCGCCGAAGCUGGAGCAAUACCAAGGAACAAGCAAGUGGCGUGUUCACGUUCGCAUCUUAGUCGACAAUGUCACAACUGUAUGAAGAGUCUGAGAAAUAUGAUACAUGACAAUAAAACAUCGUGAUGGAGAUAAUAAAAUGCGUUCAUCAAUAGAAAUCGUCGAGUGUUAAUCUUGACUGUGCUGUACCAUGAUUUAGUCAAUUUCUUCUGAACUCUACAGAGUAGUCAUAUUUACAUUUUAACAUUAUCAAGGAUAGACAUAUAAAUCCGUUCCGCCAAUGGAAUCACGAAAACUAAAUAUCAGUAGGCUUGUAGAACGGGUGAAUAAAAACGACAUGAAAAUUACUUAUUAUA